AUACAGAGGGUGCGAGCGUUAAUCGGAUUUACUGGGCGUAAAGCGUGCGUAGGCGGCUUUUUAAGUCGGAUGUGAAAUCCCUGAGCUUAACUUAGGAAUUGCAUUCGAUACUGGGAAGCUAGAGUAUGGGAGAGGAUGGUAGAAUUCCAGGUGUAGCGGUGAAAUGCGUAGAGAUCUGGAGGAAUACCGGUGGCGAAGGCAGCCAUCUGGCCUAAUACUGACGCUGAGGUACGAAAGCAUGGGGAGCAAACAGGAUUAGAAACCCCAGUAGUCC
rnacentral:rRNA from 1 species